AUGAGUAAAAUCACUCACCUAAUAUGUGUUUAUCUUGUAACAGACAUCGUUUCCAUUUCUCACUUUAAAAACUUAGGCGACCAGUUAUCCCAACGACUCAAAACAAUGAUUAUUUUCCCAGAGUCCUUCUUCCCUCCGAUACCAGUGACCUCAGAUAUGAAAGUGGAGCUGAGCGCACAAGAUUUAGAACAACAAUCCCCGCAUGUGACGUCAGAUGAGCCCCUCAUUCCUCCCUUGCUACUCCCUCUAGCGUUCGAUUGUUCUGCGUCCGUACCGUCCUGCACCGGCGAGAUAUACAAUGUCAAGUCGUGUUUGUUUCCUGCCCGAACAGCACCUCUCUGUGGCGAACCGGAGGCAUCGAAACUACCAAAUCGGAGAUCUUUCGGGCUGUGCUGCGUCAGCACGUUGCUUGGAAACCAGCAAAGCCGUCCUCGGACGCAGAGCUCGGUGUGGAUCUGCAGAACAUCAGGACUUGGCCAGCGGGUGGUGUAACAUGUCAGCCAUGCACUGGGAGGCCCGUCGCCGUCAGCAGGCGCUGGACCGCAGAUUGUCUGCUAGAGUUAUGCAGGCAGGCAACCAAGAUAAAAAGAAAGAAGAGUCUACGGCACCUGUGACACCCUGUGAACCUGCAGUGUCCAGUGAGUCUCAAGAGGCUGACAAGCAAUGCGUUUGCAAGUGUCAUGCCAAGAUGAACAAAAGAUACACAUCUCUGCAGUAUUCCCAGCAAUGGUGAAGAUGAAGGCCAGACUACUGGAUAUCACUAACUCCAAUAUUAAAGUGUAUUUCAUCGAAAAACCAGACUUUAUUGUUGGGUUUAAUAAUCCUAAUUAAAACAGAACUGGGUGUCUAACAGUUCUGGCUGGAUUUGCUCAAGAAUUCUCAACAAAUAAAAUGCAGGUCAUUUAAUGUGCA
ensembl:lncRNA